rnacentral:rRNA from 1 species
GACGAACGCUGGCGGCGUGCUUAACACAUGCAAGUCGAACGGAAAGGCCCUGCUUUUGUGGGUUGCUCGAGUGGCGAACGGGUGAGUAACACGUGAGUAACCUGCCCUUGACUUUGGGAUAACUUCAGGAAACUGGGGCUAAUACCGGAUAGGAUCUCCUGCUGCAUGGUGGGGGUUGGAAAGUUUCGGCGGUUGGGGAUGGACUCGCGGCUUAUCAGCUUGUUGGUGGGGUAGUGGCUUACCAAGGGUUUGACGGGUAGCCGGCCUGAGAGGGUGACCGGCGACAUGGGGACUGAGAUACGGCCCAGAAUCCAACGGGAGGCAGCAGUGGGGAAUAUUGCACAAUGGGCGGAAGCCUGAUGCAGAAACGCCGCGUGCGGGAUGACGGCCUUCGGGUUGUAAACCGAUUUGGCAUGUGACGAAGCGUGAGUGACGGUAAUGGGUAAAGAAGCACCGGCUAACUACGUG